rnacentral:rRNA from 1 species
GAUCCUGGCUCAGGAUGAACGCUAGCUACAGGCUUAACACAUGCAAGUCGAGGGGCAGCAUUUCAGUUUGCUUGCAAACUGGAGAUGGCGACCGGCGCACGGGUGAGUAACACGUAUCCAACCUGCCGAGUAACUCGGGGAUAGCCUUUCGAAAGAAAGAUUAAUACCCGAUGGUAUAAUCAGACCGCAUGGUCUUGUUAUUAAAGAAUUUCGGUAUCGAUGGGAUGCGUUCCAUUAGG